UGGGCACCUGCUGCACUGCCCUCUCCUCUCCGAUGCCCGGGUCCCUGGGGCGGGCUCUCCACUGACCCAGCGCACCUCCCAGGCUCACUGCCUUCGCUGCCAGCCCCGCCGGGCUGGGGCCCACUGGGAACACAUGCUCCUCCUCUUGUGCUGGCAGCUGUCACCAGCCACAGCUCACAGGCCAGUCUCUGUCUGUCCAGAGUGGGCAAUGUGUGAACGUUGGUUGGGUAAACGAAUGAAAAUGUUCUUGACACAAUCCUUUACUGCAGGUGAGAGGAUUUACUGGGCCCCUGGCUGGGCGCAGGUGGAUGGUCUUGAGCUCGGAGGUGAGUGCGUGGCCCUGGCCCGCUUCAGAGAGAGACUGUCCUCUCUGGAAGCUUCUGCCCUGCUCCCUUCCCUGGAUCCUUUGUCCUGGACUCCUGACCAGAUUGGGAACCAGUUACAACCCACUGGCCUCCUGGUUGUCCUUCGUCUCCACGUGUCGAUGCUCGCUGAUUGCCUGUGAGCUGAUGCUUCUUGAAUCUGCAUUUCGUAAUUGCUUUCCUCUGUCUUCCACGCCAGCGGUCCUGCCUCUUCCGUCUCGCAGGCAAGCACUGACCUACAUUUCCACAGGCACCGCUGUCCGUGAUGCUGCCAACAUGUCAAGUGGUGUUUAGUGCGAUGGCUCCGCUGUGGUCUGGAUGCCCGGCCCCUCAGGGACUUUAUUCUGAAGAGCGAGAGAACGAGAGUGCAGGCGACCCCCGCUCUCUGCAAAGAAGGCUUGGAAGCAUGAACUGAAGUGAUCCCUGUUGGUCCAGCAUUGGGUGCCGAUGGACGGUGGGUGCUCUCACGCAGCGGCUACCUGGUUGGAGGACUGUCUGAGUCCAGGUGAGGCUGGGGGAUCUACGGGGAGCUCCAAAGUCUCAGGGCCUCGAUGUACAUGUAUUCAUUUCUUUAUCAUGUAAAGUUCAGAAUGGGCCCGUCAAGUUCAUCUGUGUGACGAUGGCAGAAAUGGGAAGAGAGAAUGGAGGACGGUGCCCGGAAGGCACACCCACCACGUGCGCUGAGCUCACCUACCUAUGAGGGGCUGGGAGCGAGACCAAGAGGUUUGGUGGACAUCUCCACCUGGGGUGGAGAGAUGGAAAUAAGGGAAAGAGAGAUGGAAAUAAGACAGUUCACAUAAUUUUCGCUGAGUCAGAAGAAGAGAGCGAGUGGCAGGCAGUGAAUGUGUGCAUCCCUCUGACUGCCAUGUGCAUGCGUGUCUUUCCGUGUGACCAUGAGACUGUGGGUCGGUGUCUUUGUCCCUAAGUGUGUCUCUGUGUGUGACAGCACAACGGUGCCUUAGGACACUGUUGCCACCUGCUUCCAGGGGAGUCGGGAAGCAUAGCUCUGUGAAGGGCACCCCGGCAGGCAAGGGUGGGUUUGGGGGAAUGCAGACCCUGGGCUCCACCCCCUGCAGCCCAGCCCGUGCCACGUGGGAACUGCCUAUGGCUCCUCACUUGCUCCAUCCUUCUCCUGGGAAAUCCCUGGCACAGCCAGGAUGCCACCUCCUCGGCAGGGAGCAGGUCUGGUGAGAGGGGAGGGGGCAGCGAGGUUGGCUUUCUGGUCCAUCCCGCAAGGCCAGGCACAAGGCCCUGUGCCAGACCUACAGGGUGUUCUCCUUGUAGCCAGCACUGUGCAGAGAUCACUGUGAGGCUCUCACUAAAAUCCUCCAUUUGGAACCUAAAUGCGAUAAAUAGCUGCUGAUGGGAGGAGUGGUGAUCACACCAAAUCCAAUUCAGGCUGUUUGCACAUGCGGAGAGCUGGAGUCGAUGGCAGUCUGAGGUCGAGGGCGCGGGAGAAGCGCACUCCCCAUGCUGACUCACACGGCGCUAUAUUUGGCGCCUUGAUGAGGAUAAAUCAAUGAGCUAGAAAAUACAACCCCUCUUCACUUAACCAGGCUGGCGCACGCGUUCCCAGAAUGCGGAAAGCAAGCACCGAAAUUUCAAUUAGUGCUUCACACCCCAUGGCUUCUGGUUGUGAAUCAUUAGAUUGGAACACAGGGCACAAACACGCCAGAAGCAGGCGACGCGGAGGAGGCCGUCCUGCAGGUGAGAUCUCUCCAAGCAGAGCCUGCGGGAAGCGGGAAGCGCUCCCUGGGGUGCAGCCAAGCUAAACGCAGGUGUGGAAAGCGGGAAGGCGCCUGUGCAGGGCCCAGCCAGGCAGAUGCGGGCAGGCCUCUGGUCAUUGCUCAAGCCUGGGGGACACUGUGGGGACCCUGGGGGCACCCUGUGGCCGAGUCACAUCA